ensembl:lncRNA
CAGACAAUCACGAACUACAAAAGGAAAACCAGCCACGUCACCGAGACCGAUGUCUUUCUUCGGAACAGGCUAAACAAAUUCUUUGCACGCUUUGAAGAUAACACAGUGCCACCGACGUGGUCUGCUACCAAGGACUGUGGGCUCUCGCUCUCCUUCUCCACGAGUAAAACAUUUAAACGUGUUAACCCUCGCAAGACUGCUGGGCCCAGACGGCAUCCCUAGCAGUGUCUUCAGAGCAUGCUCAAACCAGCUGGCUGGUGUGUUUACGGGCAUAUUCAAUCUCUCCCUAUCCCAGUCUGCUGUCCCCACAUGCUUCAAGAUGGCCACCAUUGUUCCUGUACCCAAGAAGGCAAAGAUCCACAGACAAUGCAAUCGCCAUCAGUCUGCACAAUGCCCUAUCCCAUCUGGAGAAGAGGAAUACCUGCGUAAGAAUGCUGUACAUUGACGACAGCUCAGCAUUCAACACCAUAGUACCCUCCAAGCUCAUCAUUAAGCUCGAGGCCCUGGGUCUGAACCCCGCCCUCUGCAACUGGGUCCUGGACUUCCUGAUGGGCCGUCCCCAGGUGGUGAAGGUAGGAAACAUCACCUCCACUCCGCAGAUCCUCAACACUGUGGCCCCACAACGGUGCGUGCUCAGCCCCCUCCCCCCUACUCCCUGUUCACCCAUGACUGCAUGGCCAAGCACGCCUCCAACUCAAUCAUCAAGUUUGCAGACAACACAACAGUAGUAGGCUUGAUUACCAACAAUGACGAGACAGCCUACAGGGAGGAGGUGAGGGCUCUGGGAGUGUGGUGCCUGGAAAACAACCUCUCACUCAACGUCAACAAAACAAAGGAGAUGAUCGUAGACUUCAGGAAACAGCACAGGGUGCACCCCUUAUCCACAUCAACGGGACCGCAGUGGAGAAAGUGGAAAGCUUCAAGUUCCUCGGUGUACACAUCACUGACAAACUGAAAUGGACCACCAACACAGACAGUGUGGUGAAGAAGGCGCAACAGAGCCUCUUCCACCUCAGGAGGCUAAAGAAAUGUGGCUUGUCACCUAAAACCCUCACAAAUUUUUACAGAUGCACAAUUGAAAGCAUCCUGUUGGGCUGUAUCACCGCCCGGUACAGCAACUGCACCGCCCGGUACAGCAACUGCACCGCCCGGUACAGCAAGGCUCUCCAGAGGGUGGUGCGUUCUGCCCAAUGCAUUACUGGGGGGAAACUAUCCGCCCUCCAGGAAACCUACAGCACCCGAUGUCACAGGAAGGCCAAAAAGAUCAUCAAAGACAUCAUCCACCCGAGCCACUGCCUGUUCACCCCGCUAUUAUCCAGAAGGUGAAGUCAGUACAGGUGCAUCAAAGCUGGGACCGAGAGAAGCAGUUUUUCUUUCUAUCUCAAAGCCAUUAGACUGCCAAAGAGACAUCACUAGCACAUUAGAGGCUACUGCCUAUAGGCAUAGCCUAGGAAUCACUGGCCACUUUAAGGAAUGGAACACUAGUCACUUUAAUAAUGUUUACAUAUCUGUCAUUACUCACCUUAUAUGUAUAUACUGUAUUCUAUGCUAUCUUAGUCACUUAAUGUUUACAUAUCUGGCAUAACUCACCUCGUGUGUGUGUGUGUAUAUAAUGUUUUCUAUACUAUUCUACAGUAUCUUAGUCCGUUCCGCUCUGAUGUCAAUAGUCCAUAUGUAUAUAGUCUAAAUACAUUCCUACUUGUAUAUUUUGUGUCAUUCGAUUGGUCAAAUUCCAGUAGGGCCCUCCCCUUUCGGUUCCUAGUGAAUACACCCAAGCCUUGUUGCUAUAAGGCUGUUUUAUGUGCAUCAAAACCAGAGGGAAAGAUUUGAAAUCCUCUGCAGAAGGCAAAGAUAUUAUUACUUGUUAGUGCAGUAAUAUCUAUCGGAGCUAGAAGCACAAGCAUUUCGCUACACGCGCAAUAACAUCUGCUAAGCACGUGUGUGACAAAUAAAAUGUGAUUUGA